ACAAUUCUUUGCUAGCAGCUGUCAAGAUGUAUGGCUGAAUGCAAGGAGGUGUCACAGCAGUUAGGCUGACUGCACUGGGGAGUCUGUGCUGCUGCACACACUUUCCAGGUGGUAGUGUUGAGCAUCAUAAGGAGACUCAAACAUUUCAUGAUUGCCUAUGAUGAGAGACUUUUUUAUAUCCUGAAUGGAUUUUCAUAUCUUUGGAAGAAAAUCUUUCUUGUGUACAUACACAUUCUUCAUGUGAUCAAAGUGAGGUA
rnacentral:lncRNA from 1 species